AUGUAUAUUCCUACAAUGUUCAUACAUUGAAUCCCAUCAGAACUCCAUAAUUAAGAGCACUUGGGAUAGAGUAGUAUUGGGAUGGGUGACCUCCUGGAAAGUACUAGUGUUUUACAUG
rfam:Picea glauca, whole genome shotgun sequence.